CCUACGGGAGGCAGCAGUGAGGAAUAUUGGUCAAUGGCCGUAAGGCUGAACCAGCCAAGUCGCGUGAGGGAAUAAGGCCCUACGGGUCGUAAACCUCUUUUGCCGGGGAGCAAGGGCCGGGACGCGUCCCGGCCCGGAGAGUACCCGGAGAAAAAGCAUCGGCUAACUCCGUGACAGCAGCCGCGGUAAUACGGAGGAUGCGAGCGUUAUCCGGAUUUAUUGGGUUUAAAGGGUGCGUAGGCGGGCUUUUAAGUCAGCGGUAAAAAUUCGGGGCUCAACCCCGUCCGGCCGUUGAAACUGGGGGCCUUGAGUGGGCGAGAAGAAGGCGGAAUGCGUGGUGGAGCGGUGAAAUGCAUAGAUAUCACGCAGAACCCCGAUUGCGAAGGCAGCCUUCCGGCGCCCUACUGACGCUGAGGCACGAAAGUGCGGGGAUCGAACAGGAUUAGAUACCCUAGUAGUC
rnacentral:rRNA from 1 species